rnacentral:rRNA from 1 species
CCUACGGGUGGCAGCAGUGGGGAAUAUUGCACAAUGGGCGAAAGCCUGAUGCAGCAACGCCGCGUGAGCGAUGAAGGCCUUCGGGUCGUAAAGCUCUGUCCUCAAGGAAGAUAAUGACGGUACUUGAGGAGGAAGCCCCGGCUAACUACGUGCAAGCACCCGCGGUAAUACGUAGGGGGGUAGCGUUAUCGGGGAUUACUGGGCGAAAAGGGUGGGUAGGUGGUUUCUUAAGUCAGAGGUGAAAGGCUACGGCUAAACCGUAGUAAGCCUUUGAAACUGGGGAACUUGAGUGGAAGAGAGGAGUGUGGAAUUCCUGGUGUAGGGGUGAAAUGAGUAGAUAUGAGGAGGAAGACCGGUAGCGAAGGCGGCAAUCUGGCUGGAAACUGACGCUGAGGUGCGAAAGCGUGGGGAGCAAACAGGAUUAGAUACCGGAGUAGUC